CUCUUCCAUCUCUACAUAUGUGUUGCAGAGUGAAGGACAGACACUAAAUCACUGACAUACACACUGUAGACUGGACAGAGACAACUGGCUUUCACAAUGAUCAGACCUGAUUAUCUGGUGGUUUUUCUCAUCCUGUCAAUUAACUCUGCAGGUACUGAGGGUCAAACACUGACUGAGUCUGAACCAGUGGUUAAAAAGCCUGGAGAGUCCCACAGACUGACCUGCACAUAUUCAGGGUUUAGUGGUCAUAUUGAUACUGCUUGGAUCAGACAGGCUGCUGGAAAAGGAAUGGAGUGGAUCGCUUAUAUCAGCAGUGGCAGUCGCUACAUCUACUACUCUGAGUCAGUGAAAGGCCGGUUCACCAUCUCCAGAGACAACAACAGACAGCAGGUGUAUCUGCAGAUGAGCAGUCUGACGGCUGUAGACUCUGCUGUUUAUUACUGUGCUCGAGAGACACAGUUGACACAGAAAGGAGAAAUGCUGUACAAAAACUCAACAAGUUCAAAUACAAAUUCAAAAAUUUGUGUUCUGCUUCUCACAAUCACAAAAAGGCUUGAGAUCAACAUCAUCAAGACACUGAAAUAA